GGGCAUGAUGCGGGAGAGCAUGGCGGGCCUUUCAGGCCAGGCGCCAUCGCCGAAGGAGCAACCGCCCCGGAAUCUCUCAGGCUAAAGGACCGCAUCAUGGGC
rnacentral:ncRNA from 1 species